rnacentral:rRNA from 1 species
UACGGAGGGUCCGAGCGUUGUCCGGAAUUAUUGGGCGUACAGGGCUCGUAGGCGGUCCGUCGCGUCGGGAGUGAAAACUCGGGGCUCAACUCCGGGCCUGCAGCCGAUACGGGCAGACUAGAGUUCGGCAGGGGAGACUGGAAUUCCUGGUGUAGCGGUGAAAUGCGCAGAUAUCAGGAGGAACACCGGUGGCGAAGGCGGGUCUCUGGGCCGAUACUGACGCUGAGGAGCGAAAGCGUGGGGAGCGAACAGG